rnacentral:rRNA from 1 species
UUUAGUUUGCAGUUCUCGCGUGGUGUCUCACUGAAGUUAAGCAGGGUUGAGCCUGGCCAGUACCUGGAUGGGAGACCUCCUGGGAAAAACUAAGGUUUCUGCUGGAA